rnacentral:rRNA from 2 species
CAGUGAUAAACUGGAGGAAGGUGGGGAUGACGUCAAGUCAUCAUGGCCCUUACGACCAGGGCUACACACGUGCUACAAUGGCGCAUACAAAGAGAAGCGACCUCGCGAGAGCAAGCGGACCUCAUAAAGUGCGUCGUAGUCCGGAUUGGAGUCUGCAACUCGACUCCAUGAAGUCGGAAUCGCUAGUAAUCGUGGAUCAGAAUGCCACGGUGAAUACGUUCCCGGGCCUUGUACACACCGCCCG